rnacentral:rRNA from 1 species
AACGAACGCUGGCGGCAUGCCUAACACAUGCAAGUCGAACGAGACCUUCGGGUCUAGUGGCGCACGGGUGCGUAACGCGUGGGAACCUGCCCUUAGGUUCGGAAUAACUCCCCGAAAGGGGUGCUAAUACCGGAUAAUGUCUUCGGACCAAAGAUUUAUCGCCUUUGGAUGGGCCCGCGUUGGAUUAGCUAGUUGGUAGGGUAAAAGCCUACCAAGGCUACGAUCCAUAGCUGGUCUGAGAGGAUGAUCAGCCACACUGGGACUGAGACACGGCCCAGACUACUACGGGAGGCAGCAGUGGGGAAUAUUGGACAAUGGGCGAAAGCCUGAUCCAGCAAUGCCGCGUGAGUGAUGAAGGCCUUAGGGUUGUAAAGCUCUUUUACCCGGGAUGAUAAUGACAGUACCGGGAGAAUAAGCUCCGGCUAACUCCGUG